UUGAUCAUGGCUCAGAUUGAACGCUGGCGGCAGGCUUAACACAUGCAAGUCGAGCGGAGAGAGGUAGCUUGCUACUGAUCUUAGCGGCGGACGGGUGAGUAAUACUUAGGAAUCUGGCUAUUAGUGGGGGACAACAUUUCGAAAGGGAUGCUAAUACCGCAUACGUCCUACGGGAGAAAGCAGGGGAUCUUCGGACCUUGCGCUAAUAGAUGAGCCUAAGUCGGAUUAGCUAGUUGGUGGGGUAAAGGCCUACCAAGGCGAUGAUCUGUAGCGGGUCUGAGAGGAUGAUCCGCCACACUGGGACUGGGACACGGCCCAGACUCCUACGGGAGGCAGCAGUGGGGAAUAUUGGACAAUGGGGGGAACCCUGAUCCAGCCAUGCCGCGUGUGUGAAGAAGGCCUUAUGGUUGUAAAGCACUUUAAGCGAGGAGGAGGGUACUGGUAUUAAUACUACCAGGUACUGGACGUUACUCGCAGAAUAAGCACCGGCUAACUCUGUGCCAGCAGCCGCGGUAAUACAGAGGGUGCGAGCGUUAAUCGGAUUUACUGGGCGUAAAGCGUGCGUAGGCGGCUAAUUGAGUCGGAUGUGAAAUCCCCGAGCUUAACUUGGGAAUUGCAUUCGAUACUGGUUAGCUAGAGUGUGGGAGAGGAUGGUAGAAUUCCAGGUGUAGCGGUGAAAUGCGUAGAGAUCAGGAGGAAUACCGAUGGCGAAGGCAGCCAUCUGGCCUAACACUGACGCUGAGGUACGAAAGCAUGGGGAGCAAACAGGAUUAGAUACCCUGGUAGUCCAUGCCGUAAACGAUGUCUACUAGCCGUUGGUCUCUUUGAGGGAUUAGUGGCGCAGCUAACGCGAUAAGUAGACCGCCUGGGGAGUACGGUCGCAAGACUAAACUCAAAUGAAUUGACGG
rnacentral:rRNA from 1 species